AGAGUUUGAUCAUGGCUCAGAUUGAACGCUGGCGGAAUGCUUUACACAUGCAAGUCGAACGGCAGCACGGGGCAACCUGGUGGCGAGUGGCGAACGGGUGAGUAAUACAUCGGAACGUGCCCAAUCGUGGGGGAUAACGUAGCGAAAGUUGCGCUAAUACCGCAUACGAUCUACGGAUGAAAGCGGGGGAUCGCAAGACCUCGCGCGAGUGGAGCGGCCGAUGUCAGAUUAGGUAGUUGGUGGGGUAAAGGCUCACCAAGCCAACGAUCUGUAGCUGGUCUGAGAGGACGACCAGCCACACUGGAACUGAGACACGGUCCAGACUCCUACGGGAGGCAGCAGUGGGGAAUUUUGGACAAUGGGCGCAAGCCUGAUCCAGCCAUUCCGCGUGCAGGAUGAAGGCUUCGGGUUGUAAACUGCUUUUGUACGGAACGAAACGGCGAGCUCUAAUACAGUUUGCUAAUGACGGUACCGUAAGAAUAAGCACCGGCUAACUACGUG
rnacentral:rRNA from 1 species